rnacentral:rRNA from 1 species
UACGUAGGGUGCGAGCGUUAAUCGGAAUUACUGAGCGUAAAGCGUGCGCAGGCGGUUUUGUAAGACAGGCGUGAAAUCCCCGGGCUCAACCUGGGAAUGGCGCUUGUGACUGCAAAGCUAGAGUGCGGCAGAGGGGGAUGGAAUUCCGCGUGUAGCAGUGAAAUGCGUAGAUAUGCGGAGGAACACCCGAUGGCGAAGGCAAUCCCCUGGGCCUGCACUGACGCUCAUGCACGAAAGCGUGGGGAGCAAACAGG